UGGUAGGUGGCAAGCGUUAUCCGGAAUUAUUGGGCGUAAAGCGCGCGUAGGCGGUUUUUUAAGUCUGAUGUGAAAGCCCACGGCUCAACCGUGGAGGGUCAUUGGAAACUGGAAAACUUGAGUGCAGAAGAGGAAAGUGGAAUUCCAUGUGUAGCGGUGAAAUGCGCAGAGAUAUGGAGGAACACCCC
rnacentral:rRNA from 1 species